rnacentral:rRNA from 1 species
GACGAACCGUGCGAACGUUGUUCGGAAUCACUGGGCUUAAAGGGCGCGUAGGCGGGCGAUCAAGUCUAUGGUGAAAUCCAACAGCUCAACUGUUGAACUGCCACGGAUACUGAUUGUCUCGAGGGAGGUAGGGGCGUACGGAACAAAUGGUGGAGCGGUGAAAUGCAUUGAUAUCAUUUGGAACUCCGGUGGCGAAGGCGGUACGCUGGACCUUUUCUGACGCUGAGGCGCGAAAGCCAGGGGAGCAAACGGGAUUAGAAACCCCUGUAGUCC